GAUGGUGAUUGGGUUCAUCAGACCCCAGGCCCGGUCGGUGCGGGCUGGCUCCUCGACCGACAGCGCCGGCGUAGCCCCGGCAGGUAGCGCGUCCCCGCCUGGGCUUUGGGUGGUGCCGCUGUUUUGGUGGUGGGACGUGAGCGCUUUACCCAGCGCCGAGCGUUGGGUGCGGAGCAGCCGGGGCCGAGGCUAGACGAUUCGGGGGUGGCCUAGCCCAACGCCCAGGGGAGGGGCGCUGGGUAGUGGCGGCGAGCGGCGGCCGGCGGCGGCUGCUCACUCAUUCGGAUGUGCCCUAUGGUACGACCGUGGCCGUCGCUACCUUCACGGCUAACUACCGUGCCACUCGUGGUGCGAGCGCAGACACUUGCGCCACGUGUUAGGUGCCCGUGCGUUCAACGCCAGUCGACAAACCGUCCUGAAGUGGUUCCUCGCGGCACGGCUGCCGUUAACACAACGAUAGACAUUGGUAACGUUCUUCGUCGAGUGUCGUUGGUCGGCCAGUCCGUGGUGUGUGGACGCGUUGGUGGAACGCUAUACGUGGUGGUGGAGAUGUGCGGCACGACCAUUCCCAGCCUUCGACUAACAUGCGGCAUAAGAGGUGUUGUUUUGUAGGUGACCCGUCGGACCGCUACCUGUACGGAGACCACUCCUGUUACUGUUACUAUCGUGUGUGAAACUAGUUCUUGAGUCGGCCGUGCUGGAACGGGCAUACUAACAGGUCGUACCGAUGGCCAAGAGGUAUCACCUACUAGACCCCAAAGCUUUCAAGCAGUUCUUAGAGGUCGGUGUCAAAUCGUACCAGAGUAUACUGUAUCACUCUCGACUAUCGUACCGUUAAAUACUUUCACUCUCCGACUUCGACGUCCUACACGAGGAGUUUUGGGGAACAGCCCAAUCGUACAGUCAACUAUACACCGCUAGCUCAUGUGUCUACCUGAUGAACACAAACUGGACGGUGAUGUAACUAGUAAGGCCGCUACUUACCUUUGAAUCCUUUUUUUAAGAAUUGAAACACGUACAGCUCCUUGUAAAAUGUCGGUUAGUCUAACGGUUAGAGUAAGACCUCUUCAACGUUGUCACCCCAUAACUUUCCUUCCAUCGAAGACAACACGAUCUGUUAACGUGGUUACCACUGUAACAACGGCGUCUUGAAGAGUCUCAAUACGUCGGAUCCUCUGAAGAGGAUAAUUUGCCUUUAAACAAGGUACACGCGAGAACACGUGUAUAAGACUUAGAGUGUCAACUUCUUUCGAACCUUGUCUGUAGACUGUAUUAAUUAUCUCAGGCACUCUACUAAGUCUUACAGUUCAAGAGUGUUCUUUCCGAAGUUUUCAAAGAUCUAUGGCGUUUCGACGACGUCUAACUGGUUUUUGACAAUCAAGAACUAAGAGGCUUGUUGACCGGAAGGUGAAUGAAUUACAAACUAAGACGUACGAUAAUAGUGCUACACGAACACGCGGAACGUCUUGUCCUUCGAUUAAUGCGACGAAAGAACUGGCGAUUCCUCACCCGACUACACUUUCGGGAGUGACUUUAUGAACUGCGCGAGUUAUUAUGUUACCUCUUCAAAGGUCACCUUUAGGGUUGGCGAUUGGAUAUAAAGUUACUGUACACACUCUAGGUCCAAGAAAACUUGUGGACCGCGUUAUCAGGUAGAGGACAACAACGUGUUCACCGACCGGCUUACGACUUUUUUAAACUCCCUAUGACCCUAGAAUGAUCCGGUCAUUACCGUAAACGUAGGUAUGACCUAGGAGCCAUGUUCUACUUCAGUUAACUCAUAAAAAAAGUCGACUAAAUACCUUUACUGGUUAAAUGUCGUUUCCGUUGUUAUCUUCGGUAGUUCGUUUCGAAAUGGUCGGACACGUUACUCAUACUCGUAAGUCGUCUAAGUAACUUCUUAGGUCGACAAGAGAAGAUGCGACCUUUGUCAUCAAGAACGUACUCGAGACACAUGUUGUGACCUUUACUGAGAUUCUGGAAGAGAGCGUAGUGUAAUAGUCUACGGGCUGCCCCUGAACUAGUCAUAUAAGUCCUCAGUAGCAGUCCGGUCAGGAAGUUCAGACUGAACCUGAACAUAGAACUCCUUCGACAGAUAGCAGUUUUUCUUCCCUUAGUUCUAUUAAAACUGUAGGAACCUACCACCUUCAGAAAACGCCGUUUCAUAGGACAGGAAAGAGUUUACCGGGCACUAUAAGAACGAUAGGGACAUAGAUAGUAGGGUGACCUGUCACUUCGGGCCCACGACUUACUCAUAGAGUCAUGAUACCUGGGAAGUUGCCAACUCCCUAACCAGACGCGCGUUCUAACCAAUGCACGUCUGUGUCUUCAACGAUUAAGUCUACCGGUACGUCUACUAUUUCACGGUGCACCGCUGCUUGAAUAACACCGUGGCUUAAUCAAUAAAGUAGACACUACUUCCGCAAACCUCUUCUUGCCUCCAUGUUCUUACCGUAGAUAGGUACGGGGACAGGUCCUUCGUCGUUGAAUUAGUACAUUUACAUAGUAGGAUCAAGAUGUGACAGACAUGUUACUCCAUAGUCACAACGGGGGGUUUACUUCCGAUUGUACCGCGUCGGUAGAGCACGGUAAAAAUCUGUCAAACCAGCCACAUUACACUGACGUAAGAACUGACCCACACAUAGGACGACGAGUCGUUUCGAUAAACGUCUGCAGGGGCCUCGGAGCCUGUACGGGACCUUACGAACCUCACCUGUUAUAACACGUAGCUCGUAAACCUUUCAUUACGGUUUUGAAUCCUGGGACCAUUAACAGUGUGCAGUCUAUGCUCGCAUACCGUUUAGUUUCCUACAGUUGAAAUCAACUGUUCGUACUGUUGAAGCACGAAUUCAAAUAAAAACUGUCUUUGAACGACAGACAACGACCUUAAACAGUUGGAACGUACUGACUUUAACGGUGGCUUUCUGCAGUCCCGGUAAACCCUUUUGAAUGGCACUCGAGAUGUUUCGUGGAGUUAGCAUCGGUCUCAUCCCAACCGUUUCUCGAGAUGUUUCGUGGACUUAACAUCGGUCUCAUCCCAACCGUUCUCCUGACACCACAAGUGGAGUUCUCAGUUCUGAAUAAUGUCAAACCGAAUAAAAGUCUGAGCUGCUCAGGGUGAGACCAUGUCAACUUCCGCGACGACUUCUGAUGAGGAUCUACCGUUCUAUGUGCCUGUCCCGUUUUUGCUGUUUAUACUGAACACGAGC
rnacentral:rRNA from 1 species